rnacentral:rRNA from 1 species
AACGAACGCUGGCGGCAGGCCUAAAACAUGCAAGUCGAACGAUCUAGCAAUAGAUAGUGGCACACGGGUGAGUAACACGUGGGAAUAUCCCUUUCACUACGGAACAACGUCGGGAAACUGACGCUAAUACCGUAUAAUGUCUCCGGACCAAAGAUUUAUCGGUGAAAGAUUAGCCCGCGUCUGAUUAGCUAGUUGGUGAGGUAACGGCUCACCAAGGCAACGAUCAGUAGCUGGUCUGAGAAGAUGAUCAGCCACACUGGAACUGAGACACGGUCCAGACUCCUACGGGAGGCAGCAGUUAGGAAUAUUGGACAAUGGGGGCAACCCUGAUCCAGCCAUGCCGCGUGUGUGACGAAGGCCUUAGGGUUGUAAAGCACUUUCGUCUACGAAGAUAAUGACAGUAGUAGAAGAAGAAGCUCCGGCUAAAUUCGUGCCAGCCGCCGCAGUAA